UUCAAAUUAUAGACAAGAUAAUCAGCCCUUUAUUCGGCUUUUCACACUCCCAAUACACGCAUUCUCCUUCCCCAUCGCUAACUCGUUUCUCUGUCUCACAAAAAACAACAAUACAAAGACUUUCUCUCCUCUUUUCCUUUCUUCAUCGACAAAAAUGGCAGCCAUAGGCAGCCAUAGCUGUGCCUCUACGCGGACUGCCCCAUCUUGUCCCGUGAAACCCGCUAAACUCAGAAAAAUUGGACCCAAAACGAUGUAACAGCUCGUCCUUGACAUCAAAUCUACCACAAGUGGCCUGAAAAGGUUGAAAUCGGUGAUCUGCUUCAGAAAUUUGGAUUUGAAUUUCAAGUUUCUUUCAUCUCCCGCAUUUUUGCUUAUUCUUUAUCUCAAAUCCGAACUUUGAAGUCCGGAUUUUGGCUAUAAAUAGCCGGAUUCUCAUCCCCAUGAAGGGAGUAGAGGAGGUCGGAAAAAAAGGGGCACAUAAAGAAGUUAUAACAGAGAAAAAGGGGGGUCUCGAAAAUUGAUAGAUUUCUUUCGAUACCAGUCCAAAUUUGGAGUCCUCAGAGUCGAUUUUGUCGUCGGAAAUUCUUAAGCGUCAAAGCUCCAGUUUCGCUGCCCCGCACAAGUUGAUACAAUUUGGCCCCUGGCCAAAUCUGUCCUCAGGAUCCCUCCAUAGUGCUUCUGCUAUUUUGGAAUAGAGCACACUGUCAGCAAUGUCUCUAGAAAGUGAAUUCAGCAACCAACUGGUAACCAUGUCAUUGCACCGGAUCCAUGAUUGCAGAUCUGGAUUGUUAAGGGCUGGAGCCUUGCAGCUUCCAUCAAUAAAUCCCAGCUUAUUUUUAGCUGAGAGAGCAAUGAGAAUGGAUCUUCUCCAUCCCCAUAACCCAUUCAUUCAAAAAUAGAGUUCACCAAAGACAUCCCUGGUGAAUCAGAUGGAUCAAGGAAAUAAGGGCUGCUUUGGUCCAAUACUUUGGAUGCAACAGGGGCAGAAGGUGACUCAGAACUUGUGUUUGCCAUGGUAGGUAAAAGAAGGCUUCGAAGAGAGGAUCUUCAAAGAAGCUUUGAUACCAUGUAGAGAAUAAGAGACAGUAUUUGGGAAUUUUUCUUGUCUGUAUAUUUCUUGCCAAUCAUGUUUAUUUAUAUAAGCUAAAGAAUCUUCUCUUCUAAGCUAAACAAUGAAAGAACUUUCUAGUCUAAGUUAAAUAUUUGGACUUGUGGGUUGUUGGUACUGAUGACUGGUCUAAUAUGGGCCCAUUGCUAAACAAUGAAAGAACUUUCUAGUCUAAGUUAAAUAUUUGGACUUGUGGGUUGUUGGUACUGAUGACUGGUCUAAUAUGGGCCCAUUUGCUUUGGCCUGCUCCAUUUCCUUGUGUGAGAUGAACUUCUCAUUGUCUCGUUCUUUGUUACUGCGAUGAACAUCUCCAUUGUUACUGUCAACAAAUGGUGAAUGCAAACAUGAAUUAAAAUUAUUUGUUGUUAUCGCUUGCUAGUCGGGAUGUUAACUUGUUGAUCUUGGUCAUGAAAACAUGAAACAAAAGGUCGUUUUCCGAGCUUUUGAUAUUAUGUGUUUAUAGGAGUGUUCACGACACACAAUUUAACUUGAUUAAACUCUAUACACUUGAGUUUUUGUUAGUACGACUGAUGUCGAGAUUGUUUUAAUGGGAGUCUUUCUAACAUCAUGCUAGGUGUUAUACGCGUUUCGUGCCCAGUGAUGAGGGGUCGCUAUAAUUAUGUAAAGAGUUAAGUUUUUGAUUAGUCUUGGGUGUCAAAAAGAAGUUAUUGUCCAUCAAAGUAACUUAAUCGUUCUCUUAAAUCUUGCUUUGACAUAUCAUGCUAUUGUUUUUGCUAAAAUCAAUAAGUAAAAUAUCUUAGGGUGCUGCACCACUUAUGGAAAAGAAUUCAGGUCCGUAUGAGGAGAAUAUAAAAUGCUCUGUUUAUUGUGUUUGACGUGUGUUGCUCGUGUUUUAAUAACUAGUAUAAAUUAAGAUUUGUUCUUAGUAUUAGCUAGUACAUUGUCUGUAUUUUCAUUAUCUCAUUGCCAGAUAUGUUUAAUUUUGUUGGAAAGAAUCCUCAACUCCCUUAAGUAAGCACCAACUUUAGAAACUACACCAUCCAGGUUCCCAGAUUGCUCUUCCAUUUCCUGAGAAGUAACGCAGCGUGCUGAUUUUCCAAGAAAAAAUUAUUCGUCAAAGUUCAGAUGUAAAAAGUUCUUUCUAUGUGAUACAGAUUUUUUGUGCCAUCUUCUGCUUGAGUACUUGAAUAUGAAAUCAUGUUUGCACGGCUUUUAGGAUCACGGUUUGGUUAAAUGUGAUUAACAUUUGGUUUAGUACGAAACAAGUUGCGCAAGCCUUAAGUUUUGAAAUAAAAGCAUUUCACUGUACAUUGAGAUUCUCUGUUCUUUUUUGUUUUUGUUAACUUGAGUAUUAGGGAAUAAUUAGAGAGGUUUGAGAAUUCACUGAUAAGGUUGUUUUAGCUAGUCUUAGUAGCUAUGUCUGUGGUUAAGCGCGUACCAACGCCUAAAUAUUGGCGCUAUUUCAGAUUCUAAUGUUGUGCUUAACAGGUUGAAAUUAUUCAUUUGGAAAUUUUGAAUAGCCAAAAAUCUUUUUCAUCAUUUUCCAUAUGUUUGUCCGAGUUAAAAUGACUAAGUAAACGGGGUAAGAGAGCUUGAAACGGGCCCAUGAAUGACUUGUUUUGAGUCUAAUCACGACUAUCUUUUUGCGAAACUUUUAAACCGUGCAACUUUUGUUUAUUUGAACAUGCCAAUAAAACACAAACAUGAUUGCUCCUUUUCCAGUUUGAAGGUUUGAUGUGUUAAACGUUACCUCUGCUCUUUUCAAAGUGAUAUUGUUGCACCCUUGAAAAUCUUUAGUUACUUCCUUUCUUUAAUUACUUGGGUGAAUAGCCUCAACAAGGUAAGGCUAGAAGAGGUUCAACAUAGCUUUUAUCUUGACAUUAGAUUUUCUCUCAAUUAGAAUUCAAGGCUAUUGGUACCACUAUAUUAUAGUUUUCAGAAAGCCUCUUGUUGUUGUUGUUAAUUCAAUCCUAGGGGGAAGCACCUGAAAUCAUAUUGCUAUGCGCUACUUGUCUCGUCAUAUUUUAUGUGGGAGUUGUAUUUUUUUUUUCACGAAUGUGCGAUGUGUACGAGAUUUGUUCCUUUGAUUUGCUUAUUUUUCAGGUAGCAUGGGCUGACAUAGUUUGAGGCUUCCUCAAGAUUGUUCAUUUUGGUAAAGAAUUAAUCUUAGAAUUUAAAAGUUUGCUUCCUUAUGGAUUUUUGAUUCAUAAGCAUCCUUCGUUCAUCUCAUUUUCUGUUUGACCAGAUUGUUUAGUUCUGAAAUAAUCUAAAAAAAGUUGACAAUGUGUGUUGAAAUCCUACUAUCCUAUUAAAACAAAAGUCUAGGAAGUGAUCAAAAUUAUGUGUCGACCUUAUGCUUUCCGAAAGGUACUUAACUUUAGUCUGAUAAUAUACGUGUUCGGAUGUUCUAUGGAAAAUUCAGUUCUCUUUGAACUAAAGUCUAUGCUUCAAAAUUUCUAAUGAUAUUUGCAAAUAAUGUCGGGCUCUCCCUACCAUCAUUUGCUAGAAUUUAUGUCAAUUAUUUAAACACACCAUUAGGUGUGUCUUUUCUAUAAUCAGAUGUGAGUGUGCUCUGUUAAGUAAUUAACCAAGUCUCUUAAUUUUCUUGUUUCUUUAAGGACUACUAGUUAUAAUUAAGCCAGAUAGCAAAUCGUUGUCUGAAUUUGUCAUACUCUCUCUAUGCUCUAUAUUGAAGUUUAAUUUCGCCAUUUCGAUGAGAAUGUAUUUGUGUGUGUUCAUUUCUUGAUACCAAUCCUUGUUCUCUUUAUUUUACAUGUGAACUCGGGAGUUAAGAGUUCCGUAACGGAACUCUUCUUUGACCCAAGCGUCGGGCCAAACGCUACUAGAAGUGCAGAGCCUCGGAGUCCACAAAUUAGGAGCCUAAACUCCUAAAUGGAGUAUUUAAUAUUCCCCGACGUCUUUAGAUUUAAUUUAUAUUUAUCGUCUUGAGUGUUUUUUUUAAUGACUAAACUCUUGUUGUCUAUUUUGAAGGUAGCUUUAUUUGACUGUCGAAUAAUGUUGUUGUAUUACCCGUUGAUUCUUUCGUAUAGGUUUAACCGUUCGAUUUUCGCAGAUAGAGCAUAAUCAAUAUUAGAUUAAGAAAAUGUAUUUUAUCAUAUUUGGUUAAUUUUAUGAAAAAUUAACUUUCGCCUUGAAACAUAUUUUCAAUAA